UAGCAGUCAUACAACUGACGGAUAAGUGGAUCAACCACAUGAAGUAUGACUGGAAAUUGCCGACCGUCUGGGCGUCACAG
rnacentral:ncRNA from 2 species